rnacentral:lncRNA from 1 species
AGAGAAUGGUCUGAGUCGAGUCAAGCAAAACGAUCAGCACCGGCCAAGCUGGCCUGGUUAAGGCCCUUUUGUUUCGGGAAACACUUUAUAUCAGGCGUCUGAAUUCUCUUCAUCGUCAGACCCCUUUUUCUCAGUUGAUUCACUUUUGAUCUCACGGUCCAGAUAUCAUUUGGAACAGCCCAUCUUCCACGCAAAAACAAUAGUAAACGGAGAAAUCCUCACGAUCCCUAAAUCCCGCAGAUUAUCCUCGCACCCGUUUCCUUCCUCCACUCCCGUCGCCGCCGUUUCCUUAUUCGUCGCCCGAUUAGUGCUCGCCAUUCUUCACCACGCCGUGGAUGAGCUGCUCACCUCCCCUUCGUCCCUGGGCUUCUUGUGGAAGGCUGAGCUGUCGAUCUGUCUGCAGCGGUAGCAUAUCCUCCCUCAGGCGGCCAUGAUGGCCUUCUUGUGAGCAGCUCGCCGAUCUGUACCUGAUUUUGCAACUCCGUCUCUCAUUCGGUCAUGAAUAAUGAUGGUUCAAUUUCUGCCACUACCCUCCCUACUGCUAAUCACCUAAUCUUUACGGCAAGGAUUCUAAUAUUCACUUUUGGAUUUGUAUAUAUGCUUCCACUAGGCCACACGUGUUGUGCUUACAAGAUUUGUUUUUGCUACAGAGAUCGAUGCUUCCUAUAAAUCCGCUACGUGCUUGUACUUGCGUAUGGAUUGGCAAUACAAGCAUGCUUCUCAGGUUCCACACUUCUUCCUGCUGUAACCACUACCCCCUUUUGCUUUUUUGAAUGAAUGUAGCAUACUUCUGCUUCUUUAGAGUUUCCAGCAUUUCAACCAUGCUUCCAUUUUUUAUACUCUUGUUUUAUGUUAGAUAACAUGAAAUUGAUGCUCGCAAAUAUCCAUGCUCUGGAAGUAUUGUACUUCAGUCAAGAUAGAUUGUAUCAAUAGUCCAGAAUUAGGUUGACAAAUUAGGGGUUUUUUUUGCAUUGGAAACAAUUUAUUCUUAUACAUGUUUCCAGCUAUAUUGACACAUACUAUUUUAAUAUUAUCUAGUCAAUUGUAUGCUCUUAACUUAUUUGCGAAGCACAACUUUUCCUCAUCCAAUCAUGCUAGCAAUUAAAAAAAAUCCAUGCUUAGAUUGUGCUUAAUAUAUGUUUCGAUAUAAUGAAGCCGAUGCUUCCUACUUCUAUUUCUUACAUAUAUCUCUAUGGUAUAGCGAAUUUUGCUUUAAGCAUUGUAAGUGCAUGCUUAUUUUAUCGUAAAAUUAUUUUCAUGGAACCAUUAGCAGAAAUAUGUGCUUCAACCACUGCCUGAUGGAACCAUUAGCAGAAAUAUGUGCUUCAACGAUUGCCGGUGUUGUUUCUAUUCGUAAAAUUUUAUUGUACAUCUAUUUUUGCACAUUUUAUUGUAUCAACAACUAUCAGUGUGUGCUUUCUUCUUUCUCACUGAAUGCUUCUAAUGUACAGACACAUCCACCAGAUUCCAAAUGAGCUUCUUUGUUGUCCGCAAGAUGGGAUGCAAUGACGUUGAAUGUGCUAUAACUGAGACAAAUGAGUCACUGUUCUAAGUUGUCUGUUGUACUGGAACAACAGUUGUCCAUGACCAGCUUGUGAAAAGUAUUGCUGUAAUAGGCUUCUGUUUAAUUGCAAAGAGAAUUGUAAUAUUUUCUGCUUACCAUAUCAAACAAAUUCGAGGCUUAAUCAUUCUUGUUGUGCUUACUGAUGAUUUCUUUGUGAAGCAAAUGUUUCCAUUAUACAAGAAAAAUGCUUCCUUUACACGAAAAUUUUGUUUUCAUCUCCAAAAAAUAUAACAUAGAUUAAAUCCUUCCAUUGAACAAUAUUUUUCUGAUGCACCACGAAGCAUAUGCACCCAUCAG